UUUUUUGCAUAGUGGCAGUAUCAUAGUCAAUGAGGUUUAUCCGAGGCGCGAUUAUUGCUAGUUGGAAACUUUACCCAAUUCUCCAGACGUGAUGACUUGAAAUACAGUCGUUAUUUGUAAUUAUUGAUAUUCUCUACGGUGA
ensembl:snRNA U4 U4 spliceosomal RNA